CUAAAAUUGUUAGGCCAAACAAUUGGCUUGGCUGGGAUUUUGGACAUCUAUAAGUAUGCCCUGCUGUUCAUAGUGCCUACAGGCUCCAUUGUUAUGGGCCACCAGAACAUAUGACAUAAAUGCACACUCGCAUCAGGACUGGUCUUAGCAAUGUAGUGACACAUGUAACGCACCUGUAUCAGUGACAGAAAUAACACAACCAAAAGCAUUUUUUCUUGCUCAGAAAUCACUUUUCUAGUCUAGUUCAGCAUCCUUAUAAACACUCCUGCUAUUGCUUAGUUUGCCGUACCUUUGCUAUGGCCUGUGUGUUUGCUACACAGUUAAUGCUUCUGUAGGUAACUCCUCAGGCUAGGGAUUCCUUGAUAAGACUUCCUUCUGUGUCAUCGAGUGACUCCUCUGGUAGCUUCCUAUUGUUCCAUAACACAAGUCCACAAAGAAAUUGAAUUGCAUCAUGCUGUCAGUUUUAAAGAAGGAUGGCUUAACUGACUAAAUUAAUCCGACAUAAUGUUAAGCUGUGGCAACCUCUUACAUAACGUUAAGGUACUCCAGAAGCUUUGACUUCAAUAUCAUGAGUGCAGAGAUGUGCACUUCAGAAUCUUUUUCAACAUCUUCCCGUUUAUCAGGUUUAUGACUUUCAACCCUCAUCUGAUGAAAUCACAUUUCUUAACCAUUCCUAAACUGGAUUGCUGGCCUGCAGCUCCUCCACUCAGACAUCGCUAUAACUUGAAAAGACCAACUGAGAAGAGACCCCUAAAAGUUUUUUUUUCUAGUACAUGCAUAAUGUAACUCAAAACCAGCUUCUUCCCACCAAAAAAUUUUGACCCAUCCCUGGAUGCAUUCAAGGCCAGGCUGGAUGUGGCUCUGGGCAGCCUGGUCUAGUGGCUGGCAACCCUGCACAUAGUAAGGGGAUUGAAACUCGAUGAUCAUUGUGGUCCUUUUCAACCCAGGCCAUUCUGUGAUUCUAUGAUUCUAUGAAAACACUAGUCACUUCAUGUAAGAAGACGAAAAGAUCAUUCCC
ensembl:lncRNA